rnacentral:rRNA from 1 species
UAGUCCUAGCAGUAAGCGGUGCGCACUUGCUGUGGGCGGAUUCGACCCCGCCCGUGGCGGAGCUAACGCGUUAAGUGUGCCGCCUGAGGAGUACGGUCGCAAGGUUAAAACUCAAAGAAAUUGACGGGGGCCUGCACAAGCGGUGGAGUAUGUGGCUUAAUCCGAUGCAACGCGAAGAACCUUACCUGGGUUUGACAUGCAUCUCUAAGUCUGUGGAAGCAGGCGAGUCUUCGGACAAUUUGCACAGGUGCUGCAUGGCUGUCGUCAGCUCGUGUCGUGAGAUGUUGGGUUAAGUCCCGCAACGAGCGCAACCCUCGUGUCCUGUUGCCACCUCCGCAAGCGCGGAAAGCACUCUGGACAGACUGCCUCGCCAAAACGGGGAGGAAGGUGGGGAUGACGUCAAGUCUGUAUGGCCCUUACGCCCAGGGCUGCACACGUACUACAAUGCCAAGUACAAUAGGUUGCCAACCCGUGAGGGGGAGCGUAAUCCUUAAAGCUUGGCCCCU